UUUUUGACUACAGACGUUGGUAGAGAGAAUUGUCUAAUUAUAAUUAAAAUAAAUUUAUUUAUUUUUUAUUUAGAAUAGUUUAGGUCUCGUUUUAAACCCGAGCAUUCAUCCCGCGCGCGGAACCUUCACUAUGCUUUAACCGUACUAGCUCGCUUUUUUUAUUAUAUAGCGUGGAUGGACUGACGAACUCGCAGAUCACUUGGUAUGCCCAUAACUACAUACAUAAACAUACAUAAAUUGUCAAAACUCUUGGGUACCACGAAGUAAAGCCAUAAUGUAAUUAAGAGAAACAAUUUAAAUCACAAGAAAAGCAAUCAUAUAUGAAUAUUGUUUGCUUCCAAUUGAAAAAAAAGAAACUAUGUCCAAAAAGUUUAUUCUUCAGUCUUAACAAUUUUAUCAGGAAGUCUGUUAAAUAGUGUACAGUUUAAUAGUUUUGUUAUUAUUUUAUAUAUUGGUUCAUAAUUAGAAAAAUAUCGAACAGAUUCGCCAUGCUCCAUAAUGACUUAUUUAAAAAUAUAUAAAAAACUGGUGUCUAGUAAUAGUUAUUAAAUACACGGCAACGCGCUUGCGUUAAAUCCUCUAAUACUGAACAGCGCGUGCAGACAGAAUUGAUAAACAUUCCAGGAAUUACAAUUUCAAUGUACCUAAAUUAAAUUCAAGAAAUAAAUAUUUUAUGUUUCCUUUUGAACCAUUGUAGAAUCAUUUUGAUAAUCAUACUAACUAUAAAUUUUAAAAAUUACAGUAUUUGCCUAUAGAAAAUUAUGAUAAUAUAAAUAAAAAUAGCAUAUUUUGUGUUAAUUACAAUAAUUUUAUGUUAUUACUUACUUCUAUAACAACUUUAUGCACACGUUCACGCUUAUUGAUUUCUUAAGUUAUUUGAUCUGGAUUGACACUGGUUUGCCUAUAAUAACCGUUUGCGGUAUAAUAUUACUUUUAUGUUACUGAGCAUUGUAGGUAAUCAAUAAGAGGUAAUUUAUUUCUAUUUAUAAACUUUAUGCCAAAUAAAUUCAUCCGGUAUACAACACUACAAUACUAGAAGUACGUGAACGAAUAUUGUGAACUUAUUUAACAAUUAGAAUUUAGGUAUUGUAAGUAAAUUAAAUGAAUGAAUGAAUUAAUUAAUUUGUUUCGAGAUGCUGUAAAAACGCCGACAAAUAUUAAAAACGUAUAAAAUUAUUAAAAUAGCAUUAGUGCAUAACAAACAUAAAUUUAGCUAUUCGACUGAUUCCGUGCAUAUACUAAACGUAGUUUAUAUUUAUUCUAUGUAAUUAAACUAUUUCUGAGAAAAUGGUCUGAAGUGCUGAAAAGAUAGAUAGACAGCAGACGAAUAGUAAAGCUAUCUUAUAGACUA